GGAAGUGAAAAAGAGAAGCCGGCGGCCUUAUCGGCGCAGUCGACGGCAGCUACUUAACUCUGGAGGGCCCCCACCCCUCCCGCUACAACAGCCUACACCGUGCGGCCGGAACCAGGAGGCUCGUCUGGCACCCGAGCGGCUGCUGGGCCGGAGGAUCCCCGAUGGCCUUCACGCCCCUCUGAUCAGGAAACUGAGAGAGGAAAAUGGUCAGUCCCAGCUAGGAAAUCCUAUCUAUCUGGAGUAGCCAGGAAUUAGGAGAGGUUGAGAAACCAAUCGAGAUCAUGCAGCUGGUAAGGGGCAGAGCCAGGACUGGAACCCAGCUAUUUUAUAACUCCAGUUCUAGAACUUGAAGCCGCCCACGAGACACUCUCAAUUGCAGAGAAUAAAAUGAGCUGAGAAAAAUGUCAAAA